AGCGAACGCUGGCGGCAGGCUUAACACAUGCAAGUCGAACGGGCGUAGCAAUACGUCAGUGGCAGACGGGUGAGUAACGCGUGGGAACGUACCUUUUGGUUCGGAACAACCCAGGGAAACUUGGGCUAAUACCGGAUAAGCCCUUACGGGGAAAGAUUUAUCGCCGAAAGAUCGGCCCGCGUCUGAUUAGCUAGUUGGUGAGGUAACGGCUCACCAAGGCGACGAUCAGUAGCUGGUCUGAGAGGAUGAUCAGCCACAUUGGGACUGAGACACGGCCCAAACUCCUACGGGAGGCAGCAGUGGGGAAUAUUGGACAAUGGGCGCAAGCCUGAUCCAGCCAUGCCGCGUGAGUGAUGAAGGCCCUAGGUUGUAAAGCUCUUUUGUGCGGGAAGAUAAUGACGGUACCGCAAGAAUAAGCCCCGGCUAACUUCGUGCCAGCCGCCGCCGUAAU
rnacentral:rRNA from 1 species